rnacentral:rRNA from 1 species
UACGUAGGGUGCAAGCGUUAAUCGGAAUUACUGGGCGUAAAGCGUGCGCAGGCGGCUAUGCAAGACAGAUGUGAAAUCCCCGGGCUCAACCUGGGAACUGCAUUUGUGACUGCAUGGCUAGAGUACGGUAGAGGGGGGGAUGGAAUUCCACGUGUAGCAGUGAAAUGCGUAGAUAUGUGGAGGAACACCGAUGGCGAAGGCAGCCCCCUGGGUCAAGAUUGACGCUCAUGCACGAAAGCGUGGGGAGCAAACAGG